UGCAGUCGACGAUACUCUUUAGCUUGCUAGAGAGGAAAGUGGCGCACGGGUGCGUAACGCGUAUGCAACCUACCUUAAUCAGGGGGAUAGCCCGAAGAAAUUCGGAUUAACACCGCAUAAAAUCACAGUAUAGCAUUGUACAAUGAUCAAAUAUUUAUAGGAUUAAGAUGGGCAUGCGUGACAUUAGUUAGUUGGCGGGGUAACGGCCCACCAAGACCACGAUGUCUAGGGGAUCUGAGAGGAUGACCCCCCACACUGGUACUGAGACACGGACCAGACUCCUACGGGAGGCAGCAGUAAGGAAUAUUGGUCAAUGGAGGCAACUCUGAACCAGCCAUGCCGCGUGCAGGAAGACAGCCCUCUGGGUCGUAAACUGCUUUUAUUCGGGAAUAAACCUACUUACGUGUAAGUAGCUGAAUGUACCGAAGGAAUAAGGAUCGGCUAACUCCGUGCCAGCAGCCGCGGUAAUACGGAGGAUCCAAGCGUUAUCCGGAUUUAUUGGGUUUAAAGGGUGCGUAGGCGGCUUUUUAAGUCAGGGGUGAAAGACGGUGGCUCAACCAUCGCAGUGCCCUUGAUACUGAAGAGCUUGAAUGAAUUAGAGGUAGGCGGAAUGUGACAAGUAGCGGUGAAAUGCAUAGAUAUGUCACAGAACACCGAUUGCGAAGGCAGCUUACUAUGAUUUUAUUGACGCUGAGGCACGAAAGCGUGGGGAUCAAACAGGAUUAGAUACCCUGGUAGUCCACGCCCUAAACGAUGAAUACUCGCUGUUAGCGAUACACAGUUAGCGGCUAAGCGAAAGCGUUAAGUAUUCCACCUGGGGAGUACGGUCGCAAGAUUGAAACUCAAAGGAAUUGACGGGGGCCCGCACAAGCGGAGGAGCAUGUGGUUUAAUUCGAUGAUACGCGAGGAACCUUACCCGGGCUUGAAAGUUAGUGAAUCAUUUAGAGAUAGAUGAGUCCGCAAGGACACGAAACUAGGUGCUGCAUGGCUGUCGUCAGCUCGUGCCGUGAGGUGUUGGGUUAAGUCCCGCAACGAGCGCAACCCCUAUGUUUAGUUGCCAGCACGUUAAGGUGGGGACUCUAAACAGACUGCCUGUGCAAACAGAGAGGAAGGAGGGGACGACGUCAAGUCAUCAUGGCCCUUACGUCCGGGGCUACACACGUGCUACAAUGGAUGGUACAGAGGGCAGCAAGCUGGUAACAGCAAGCAAAUCUCCAAAAGCCAUUCACAGUUCGGAUAGAGGUCUGCAACUCGACCUCUUGAAGUUGGAUUCGCUAGUAAUCGUAUAUCAGCAAUGAUACGGUGAAUACGUUCCCGGGCCUUGUACACACCGCCCGUCAAGCCAUGGAAGUUGGGGGUACCUAAAGUAUGUAACCGCAAGGAGCGUCCUA
rnacentral:rRNA from 1 species